UGUCCAGUGCAAUCCGGACUCGAAAAAAGACAAUCCGGAUGUGAAGAACCGAGUGAAGAAAUCCAGAAGGGAGAAUAAAAUGACAGCUGCAUGUAAACAUUGCGCUCGUUCUCACGCACACCUACGUAUGGAAUAACUCGAAACCCGAAAGUCGUUUUUUUAUUCGGACGGUUCCAGAGCCAAAUCCGGAAUAAAAAAAAAAAAUACGCCAUAAGAUCUGACUAAUCGCCCUGAUCAACAUUCACUCAAUUGUCGACUUCAAGCACUCAAAUUCGCUGAGUACCAACUUUCGUGUCGUCUGACGGCGUGUUCGUAAAUUGAUUUUUUCUAUCGAAGUGAUUUUUUUUUAUCGAUGCUGGCGUUCGUGAAUUACAAACAAACCAAUUCAAAGGUGAAAAUUAGAUAAUUUAGAUAAUUUUCGAAAAUGAGUGAUUAUCUUAGCUCGGUGGCUCUACCGCGCAUAAAACAGCACCAGAAUGAGUUGUCAGGUCAAGAUGGAAGCCCGAGCGGAACCCGUAUACAAGCAACCUUGAUGUUUGCAUUUUGGACAAACUAGGCUGGGCCAAAGGCAAAGGCCUCGGAAAACGGAAGACAGAAGUUAACUUAAAGUUUUUCACUGUGGAAUCCAGCACACUUCACUCGACCCGGAAUUGUACUCUUAAUUAGUCGACAUUCCCUCACUUCCAUCUGUACCGUUGAGCCGUCAACACGUACGCCGGAGCAUCGUAUCGUUGCUGUGUACCUGCAGGAACAUUUUUACAUUAUUUAUUUUUUCCUUACCUGUUUUUCAAUCAGCACUUUUCAGUGCUAAAAUUAUUUCUAUUUUCUUUUAUUCAUAUUUUUUUCUUUUCUUUCCAGCAUGGGGAAGUCUUCGGCCGGCUCAAGGGCCGGAAGAAAACGGAUUGCUGAACCUAAUCCAGGGCCAUCUGCCAAAAAAGUUGAAAUUUCCAAUUCAUUCGAUGUCCUUCAUAACAUCGGUGAUGAGGAAAUAUUCAUAUUUAAUUCUGAUAAGAGUAAUAAGAAACCUUCUUCUUCUAAUACUCUUAAAAAUGAAA